rnacentral:rRNA from 1 species
AUAUGAUAGGUGGUGCAUGGCCGUUCUUAGUUCGUGGAGUGAUCUGUCUGCUUAAUUGCGUUUCAAAUUUUUAUUUGAGGACCAGGUUUUGGUUUGGGUAGUGGUCCUACGAUGACUGUGAACUGUCAUGUCUUCGGAUGUGCGACUAUCGGUCUAGGAUCGCAUCUCAGCCCCUGGGACUCUUUUGAACGCAACGGACGUGAUUGCAACCCCUUGUUGAGAUUAGAGGAGUCUCGAUAUUCAUUGGCCAAACUUACCGCUUCGAGCUUGCUCGUGCAGUUUUGUUAGCCGGUGGAUAAACUCGGGGGACUGCUGAC